rnacentral:tRNA from 1 species
UGGGAUUUAGCUCAGCAGCACAGCGCCUGCCUGGCAAGCACGAGGUCGUGAGUUCAAUCCCAG